UACGUAGGGUGCAGGCGUUAAUCGGAAUUACUGGGCGUAAAGCGUGCGCAGGCGGUUUUGUAAGUCUGACGUGAAAUCCCCGGGCUUAACCUGGGAAUUGCGUUGGAGACUGCAAGGCUGGAGUCUGGCAGAGGGGGGUAGAAUUCCACGUGUAGCAGUGAAAUGCGUAGAGAUGUGGAGGAACACCGAUGGCGAAGGCAGCCCCCUGGGUCAAGACUGACGCUCAUGCACGAAAGCGUGGGGAGCAAACAGG
rnacentral:rRNA from 1 species